CUUUCGGGGAUAGUGGCGGACGGGUGAGUAACGCGUGAGAAUCUGCCUUUAGGACGGGGACAACAGUUGGAAACGGCUGCUAAAACCCGAUGUGCCCUUCGGGGUGAAAUAUUUAUAGCCUGAAGAUGAGCUCGCGUCUGAUUAGCUAGUAGGUGAGGUAAAGGCUCACCUAGGCGACGAUCAGUAACUGGUCUGAGAGGAUGACCAGUCACACUGGGACUGAGACACGGCCCAGACUCCUACGGGAGGCAGCAG
rnacentral:rRNA from 1 species